rnacentral:rRNA from 1 species
AUUGAACGCUGGCGGCAUGCCUUACACAUGCAAGUCGAACGGUAACAGGUCUUCGGAUGCUGACGAGUGGCAAACGGGUGAGUAAUACAUCGGAACGUGCCCGAUCGUGGGGGAUAACGAAGCGAAAGCUUUGCUAAUACCGCAUAAGAUCUACGGAUGAAAGCAGGGGACCGCAAGGCCUUGCGCGAACGGAGCGGCCGAUGGCAGAUUAGGUAGUUGGUGGGAUAAAAGCUUACCAAGCCGACGAUCUGUAGCUGGUCUGAGAGGACGACCAGCCACACUGGGACUGAGACACGGCCCAGACUCCUACGGGAGGCAGCAGUGGGGAAUUUUGGACAAUGGGCGAAAGCCUGAUCCAGCCAUGCCGCGUGCAGGAUGAAGGCCUUCGGGUUGUAAACUGCUUUUGUACGGAACGAAAAGACUCUGGUUAAUACCUGGGGUCCAUGACGGUACCGUAAGAAUAAGCACCGGCUAACUACGUG